GUUUAAAAAUUGCAAUCGCAUUUCGACGGCUCCAUUCCAUGGUCGAUUUAUCGCUUUCAAUUAGCGCGGCCAACGGCGGCUCCUGACAUCCGUCUAGGGUUAGGGCGCAAGGCAUUCGCUCUGUUUGUCCGCAAGCAUGCCCUUCCCCUCUCGAUUGAAUCGGCAAGGAAUUGAUAAUGGAGAUGGCGCUCGACUUGCUUAUUGAUUUCUGAGAUAAGGUUUCGUCCUGUUGGAGGUCCCCUUAUGUUGUGUUUGAGAGGAGAUAAGCAUGCAGGACUGAAGUAGAUACCCUGGACUUCUGUCACAGCUUCACAAAUGCAGUCAAAGAGAAGCUUCAUAUCAUCUAUUUGAUUUCCUUGAUGUAAUUCUUCGAACAAGCAAGGGCUGAUUAAUUUGUCUUCUAGAUACCAUACCUCUAAGUUCUGGUAUGUGCAUAAUUCUGACAGCUCUAGCAAUUCUUCUAUGUAACCUAACCUGACAUCCUUGUCCACCCAGAAAACCCCAUGGUCUGAACCAUCCGCUGUGGUGUAUUGUGAUCUCAAGAUAUCUUCGUGCAAUUCACCUAUAGAUCAUUGGAGGACCAAAAAAUCAUUUAGAUUUUUGGAACGCUCAUUUUUUUCAAUAUAAAUGGAAAUGUUAAGUUUAAAAUUGAGUUGUACAUUUUAUAAUGUUUUCAUUAUUAGAACUGUCGACAUCUGCAUGGAAGAACGGAUAGAGAACAGAUACAGGACUGGGUUGCUCUUGCUUUUCAUGGUUUCCAUCAGGAGAAAAUUGCGAUAUCAGCUCAAUUGGUGCACUUGAUUGGGGAGUUGUGGGCCCUUGGCAUUCUGGCACAUCAUUCCCAGGGGGGCUUGGAACCAUUGCAACAUGCUCUUUGACUGGUUCUACUUCUCCCAUCAUAUCCUUCAAUAUGUUUGCCGUCAGCAGUAUCCUUUUCUUCACCCUGUGGAGUUUGCUCAUAACCAAGACUGCAAGAAGGAUUAUCUAGCUCAUUAAGCUUUGUCUGGAUUAGGACCUUCAGCUCUGUACAUAGCUCACCCUUAUUCCUGCAAAAUUUAUGCGGAUGCUCAUCAUGGUACCUCUGGAUUUGUCCUAAGAAAUCUGUCAAGGCACAUUCAAGUUCAUUCUCUUCUGCUUCUUCCUUGCUGUUGGAACCACUAGGAUCCAAAGAUCUAGAUGGAGCAGACACGGUGAUGCUUGUGCUGUGAUUCUGGUCUCCCUUUGAUUUGCUGUUCUGUGUUGAUCUUUUGUCCAGAUAGACGUCAUGUCCCAGAUAAUAAUUCAAAGCUGGAACCAAGCCUUUUCUACAUCAAGAAUGCAUGAUGGUGGCUGAAUUCAAGUCCAUAAACGAAGGAUAUCCCCAGACCACUUGCACUGCUUAAUAGAAUCUGUGGGAUCAUUCCAGCAUGCUUUUCUGAAAUUAUUAUGCAAGCAACCAUAUGAUCAAGAAUGGCUACUCUCAUUGGACAUGUGCUGCAUCUUGGCAGAGUAAACACAAUCAUUAAGCAGACUAUUGAUGAGCCAACAUUUGACAAAAUGUUUUUACACUCUCGAGAACACAAUAACACAUCUUGCUAGCUAGAGACGUAAAUGUAUAUGUAUAUGUACAUAAAGAAAGCUUACAUUGCCGUCCUCA